GAUGAACGCUGGCGGCGUGCCUAAUACAUGCAAGUCGAGCGAACAGACGAGGAGCUUGCUCCUCUGACGUUAGCGGCGGACGGGUGAGUAACACGUGGAUAACCUACCUAUAGACUGGGAUAACUUCGGGAAGCCGGAGCUAAUACCGGAUAAUAUAUUGAACCGCAUGGUUCAAUAGUGAAAGACGGUUUUGCUGUCACUUAUAGAUGGAUCCGCGCCGCAUUAGCUAGUUGGUAAGGUAACGGCUUACCAAGGCAACGAUGCGUAGCCGACCUGAGAGGGUGAUCGGCCACACUGGAACUGAGACACGGUCCAGACUCCUACGGGAGGCAGCAGUAGGGAAUCUUCCGCAAUGGGCGAAAGCCUGACGGAGCAACGCCGCGUGAGUGAUGAAGGUCUUCGGAUCGUAAAACUCUGUUAUUAGGGAAGAACAAAUGUGUAAGUAACUAUGCACGUCUUGACGGUACCUAAUCAGAAAGCCACGGCUAACUACGUG
rnacentral:rRNA from 1 species